UACAGAGGCCUCGAGCGUUAGGCGGAAUCACUGGGCUUAAGCGUGUGUAGGACGGAUGCCUAAGUGCUUUGUGAAAUCCCACGGCUCAACCGUGGAAUUGCUUGGCAUACUGGGUGUCUUGAGCCAUCUAGGGGCGAGCGGAACAAGUGGUGGAGCGGUGAAAUGCGUAGAUAUCACUUGGAACGCCAACGGUGAAAACAGCUCGCUGGGGAUGUGCUGACGCUGGAGACACGAAAGCCAGGGGAGCGAACGGG
rnacentral:rRNA from 1 species